CAGUGGCUCACACCUGUAAUCUCAGCACUUUGAGAGGCUGAGGCGGGUGGAUCACGAGGUCAAGAGAUCGAGACCAUCCUGGCCAACAUGGUGAAACCUCAUCUCUACUAAAACUAUAAAAAUUAGCUGGGCAUGAUGGCACAUGCCUUUAGUCCCAACUACUUGGGAGGCUAAGGCAGGAAGAUUGCUUGAACCCCGGCAGCGGCAGAGAUUGCAGUGAGCCGAGAUGGCUCCACUGCAGCCUGGCUACAGAGCAAGAUUCAGUCUAAAAAAAAAAAAAUAAGUCAAAAGGUGAAACUGCACACUUGUCUUUUAAGUCGCCAGCUUGACUCUCUUCCAAGUGUACUUUACUUCCUUUCAUUUUUGCCCUAAGCAUUUCAACAAACCUUCACUCCUGCUCUAAAACUUGCCUUGGUCUCUUCUUCUGCCUUAUGCCCUUCAGUUGAAUUCUUUCUUCUGAGGCGGCAAGAGUUGAUUUUGCUGAUGUAUUUUGGUGCCCUGCGACUCGGAUAACUUUCACCGCUAACAUGUUGGCACUGCAUGACUAGGAUACGUGCCCUAGAGGUGACCAUGUUGCCCAGAGACCACAUGUUGAAACUCCUGGUUGAAACCAUUUCACCACACUUCCAAUGGAUUAAAGAUGACAGGGCCCAACUGGGUUUGGCUCCCACAGUUAAUAUUCAGCAAAGAGGGUCAUGAGGGCCACGCAGAGAAAGAAAACCCAGAAACCUGGCAUGCCAGACAAAAGGGGACAUGGAUGAAUCUGGAAAACAUCAUCCUCAGCAAACUGACACAAGAACAGAAGAUGAAACACCGCAUAUUCUCACUCAUAGGAUUCCAAGCAAGGAGGGCCAAGCAGCUAUUGCUCCAAUCUGGACUUCUAGUGAGAAAAGAAUAUUACUGCACAUUGAAAUUCAUCUGGUUACCCAAGAGCUCUGAUGGAAGUGUACAGUAG
rnacentral:lncRNA from 1 species